UUUAAGGCAAUCUACCUUUGAGAGGGAAACAACCUGCCGAAAGGCGGGCUAAUGUCCCAUAAGACCACGGGGAUGCAUAUUCCAGAGGUCAAAGCUUCGCAAGGGGCGCUCGAAGAGGAGCCUGAAUCCUAUCAGCUAGUUGGUGAGGUAAUGGCUCACCAAGGCUUUGACGGGUAGCCGGCCUGAAAGGGUGAUCGGCCACACUGGCACUGAGACACGGGCCAG
rnacentral:rRNA from 1 species